rnacentral:rRNA from 1 species
GGAUGAGCCCGCGUUUGAUUAGCUAGUUGGUGAGGUAACGGCUCACCAAGGCGACGAUCAAUAGCUGGUCUGAGAGGAUGAUCAGCCACACUGGGACUGAGACACGGCCCAGACUCCUACGGGAGGCAGCAGUGGGGAAUAUUGCACAAUGGGGGAAACCCUGAUGCAGCCAUGCCGCGUGUAUGAAGAAGGCCUUCGGGUUGUAAAGUACUUUCAGUUGUGAGGAAGGCGUUGAUGUUAAUAGCUUCAGCGUUUGACGUUAGCAACAGAAGAAGCACCGGCUAACUCCGUGCCAGCAGCCGCGGUAAUACGGAGGGUGCGAGCGUUAAUCGGAAUUACUGGGCGUAAAGCGCAUGCAGGUGGUCUGUUAAGCAAGAUGUGAAAGCCCGGGGCUCAACCUCGGAACAGCAUUUUGAACUGGCAGACUAGAGUACUGUAGAGGGGGGUAGAAUUUCAGGUGUAGCGGUGAAAUGCGUAGAGAUCUGAAGGAAUACCGGGUGGGCGAAGGCGGCCCCCUGGACAGAUACUGACACUCAGAUGCGAAAGCGUGGGGAAGCAAACA